UUGAACGCUGGCGGCAUGCCUUACACAUGCAAGUCGAACGGCAGCACGGGUGCUUGCACCUGGUGGCGAGUGGCGAACGGGUGAGUAAUACAUCGGAACAUGUCCUGUAGUGGGGGAUAGCCCGGCGAAAGCCGGAUUAAUACCGCAUACGAUCUACGGAUGAAAGCGGGGGACCUUCGGGCCUCGCGCUAUAGGGUUGGCCGAUGGCUGAUUAGCUAGUUGGUGGGGUAAAGGCCUACCAAGGCGACGAUCAGUAGCUGGUCUGAGAGGACGACCAGCCACACUGGGACUGAGACACGGCCCAGACUCCUACGGGAGGCAGCAGUGGGGAAUUUUGGACAAUGGGCGAAAGCCUGAUCCAGCAAUGCCGCGUGUGUGAAGAAGGCCUUCGGGUUGUAAAGCACUUUUGUCCGGAAAGAAAUCCUUGGCUCUAAUACAGUCGGGGGAUGACGGUACCGGAAGAAUAAGCACCGGCUAACUACGUGCCAGCAGCCGCGGUAAUACGUAGGGUGCGAGCGUUAAUCGGAAUUACUGGGCGUAAAGCGUGCGCAGGCGGUUUGCUAAGACCGAUGUGAAAUCCCCGGGCUCAACCUGGGAACUGCAUUGGUGACUGGCAGGCUAGAGUAUGGCAGAGGGGGGUAGAAUUCCACGUGUAGCAGUGAAAUGCGUAGAGAUGUGGAGGAAUGCCGAUGGCGAAGGCAGCCCCCUGGGCCAAUACUGACGCUCAUGCACGAAAGCGUGGGGAGCAAACAGGAUUAGAUACCCUGGUAGUCCACGCCCUAAACGAUGUCAACUAGUUGUUGGGGAUUCAUUUCCUUAGUAACGUAGCUAACGCGUGAAGUUGACCGCCUGGGGAGUACGGUCGCAAGAUUAAAACUCAAAGGAAUUGACGGGGACCCGCACAAGCGGUGGAUGAUGUGGAUUAAUUCGAUGCAACGCGAAAAACCUUACCUACCCUUGACAUGGUCGGAAUCCCGCUGAGAGGUGGGAGUGCUCGAAAGAGAACCGGCGCACAGGUGCUGCAUGGCUGUCGUCAGCUCGUGUCGUGAGAUGUUGGGUUAAGUCCCGCAACGAGCGCAACCCUUGUCCUUAGUUGCUACGCAAGAGCACUCUAAGGAGACUGCCGGUGACAAACCGGAGGAAGGUGGGGAUGACGUCAAGUCCUCAUGGCCCUUAUGGGUAGGGCUUCACACGUCAUACAAUGGUCGGAACAGAGGGUUGCCAACCCGCGAGGGGGAGCUAAUCCCAGAAAACCGAUCGUAGUCCGGAUUGCACUCUGCAACUCGAGUGCAUGAAGCUGGAAUCGCUAGUAAUCGCGGAUCACGCAUGCCGCGGUGAAUACGUUCCCGGGUCUUGUACUCACCGC
rnacentral:rRNA from 1 species